rnacentral:rRNA from 1 species
AUGAACGGCGCGCUAAGGGUCUCUGCUUCAAUUGUGACGAGAAGUUCGUGCGGGGCCAUCGCUGCAAAAGGCUGUUCUAUAUUCAAUCCGCCGACGCCGAAGAGGAGCAGUUUGAGGAUUUCCAGGAAGCACAAAUCUCACUCUUGGAUGUUACCGGAAUUCCCACCAGUGACACAAUGCAGGUCACUCUUCACAUCGGGGACCAUGACUUGGUCGCCUUGCUUGAUUCAGGCAGCACUCAUAACUUCAUCCACGAAGAGUUGGCCACCAUCGUCGGGCUGCCUUUCUCCUCCAAUCAUCGUUUGGGAGUCACGGUCGCUAAUGGCGAUAAGGUGA